rnacentral:ncRNA from 2 species
UACUUAUCAAGAGUGACCGAGGGAAAGGCCCUAUGACGUCCGGCAACCUCCUUAAAGGGAAGGUGCUAAUUCCUUCAGAAUGAUUUUCAUUCUGGAAGAUAAGUC